UCCCUGUCACAUUUCCCCCGGUCACAUUUCACCUUUAAGUAAGGGUUCGAGAAGUAUUCAUCUAAAGCAGAAAAAAAACUAACAGCUUAAAAACAAAACACAAAGAACUGCGGAUGCUGGAAAUCAGAAACAAAAGGAUAAAUUGCUUGAGAAACUCAAGUCCAGCAGCAUGUGUGGAGAGAAAACAGAGUUAACGAGCAAGAAAGUUAGGCAACAGGGCUUAAAGGAGGCCAUUCGGCCUCUCUUGUCUGUGCCCUCAUCAUAUUCUGCUUGCAGUCCUGCAAGUGUUUUUAAUUGCAUGUAUUGUUUCUGUUGAUCACGUUAAAUUUAUGUCUCCAGGUUCUGUUUUUUGUCAACAAGCUGUCCACUUUUUGGAGACCUCUCAAGACCUAGAAAGAUUUCUCCAAUCUAUCCCCCAUAACAAGUGCUUCAUCCCUGGACUCAUUCUCAUAAGCAUUCUCUAAAACGUUUGCAUCCUUCCUGAAGUUUAAUGCCCAGAAAAAGAUGCAAUAGACUAGUUGAAUCUGAGCCAGUGUUUUAUACAGGUGCAUUAGCAUAACUUCAAAAAGUGUGGCACCAGCUACAGAGAGAAAAGUUAAUGUUUCAAAUAUAAUUUUUUAAUGAACCCUCUGGCUCUUUGUAAAUCACUAUUAAUCUGACUCUUCAGCAAGAGGAAUUAUUUACUCCAUCAAACUGGUCAUGAUUUCGAAAACCUGUUGAACCUCUUGACCUCUGUUAAAUUGACAGCAACACCAGCUUCUCCAGUCUCGUCACACAACUGAAGCCAUCUCAUCUCGCUGAGGUCUUGGAGGCUGCUGAGUAAGGUCUUCACUUUCUGACUUCAGUUGAGCUACCAUUGCUCUCAUACAGCCCUUCAUAGAGCAGAGUGUGGCCUGUGAAGAGGAAACAUCAGUGCGGAAGCAGCUCUUACACAAAUGUUUAACUCCCGGUGCCAUCGCUUUAAGGACUCUUGUGGUGCAGGAGUAGCAUCCCUAACUCUGGGCCAGGAGGUAUGGGUUCAAGUCCCAUCUGAUCAAGAGGUGUGCCUGAACAAGCUGACUGAAAAUAUCUACACAGCAUAGAGGAAGGCUCUUAUGGUGCCGUGGUUGUGUCCCUACGUCUGGGCCAGAAAGUCUACUUCAGAGGGAGAUAUGAACACACUUGAACAUGUGGAUUAAAACUACACAGUAUAGAAAUGAUUAAAUUGGUUCCUUCUGGCAUUUAAGCUCUAUUGGUAAUUUUCCACCUUCAUUAAAUUAAACCCAUCAUCAUGUCCACCUUCUUUAAACUAAACCUAUCAGCAUGUCCUUCUAUCAGUUUCUCAUUUCGUAGUUUCUUCUUGAAUAAAUCUUUGCUACUUGCCUUAAUCAUAUCGCAAUGUAUUCCACAUUCUUUGGACAGAGGUUCCUCCUGAAUCCCUACUAGACAUUUUACUUACCAUGUUAGACAUUAUGGUCUCUACUUUGGACUCCCCACAAGUGCAAAUAUCUUUGCUGCAUUUAUACUUCAUUUUCAAUUACAUCAACCCUUUCAUUAUCUUAGAGCCAUCCCCAGCAGCUGUCUCUUUUAUAUGCAGAAGACCCGCACCCUACACAAUUCUACCAGGAAUGUCAUUCUUUUAUUUCUUCUAGC